rnacentral:rRNA from 1 species
UACGGAGGGGGCGAGCGUUAUUCGGAAUUAUUGGGCGUAAAGGGCGCGUAGGCGGCCUGACAAGUGGAAGGUGAAAUCCCUCGGCUUAACCGAGGAACUGCCCUCCAAACUGUCUGGCUUGAGACCGGGAGAGGUGAGUGGAAUUCCCAGUGUAGCGGUGAAAUGCGUAGAUAUUGGGAGGAACACCAGUGGCGAAGGCGGCUCACUGGACCGGUACUGACGCUGAGGCGCGAAAGCGUGGGGAGCAAACGGG